GCCUCCAUGGUAGGCAAUGGGACAAGGAUUCAGCAUUCAGGAUCCUACCUGUGUCUUCUUCAGGAGAGGGGACUCCUGGUUUUUGCCUUUCCCUGACUAAGAUGGCCUCCUCCCUUUCAUUGUUUCACCUGUGAUCAUUCUCAUCUUCCCGCAAAGUUUGAUUUAAACAUCAUUUCCUCCAAUUACCCUCAGACCUGCAAGUAGGGGUCACUCAGUCCUGCUGUGAGCUCCUGGCAUAUCCUUUACUGCUGGGUCACCUAAGCACCUAGUUGGUCUGCCAGCUCCUAAAUGGCAGAGACCACAUCUUACCACCUGUGUGCUCUCAUUAAGGCCACAAUGAACAUUCCUUAAAUUAAACCUCAUUCUGCCUUUAUCUUAGGUCUCC
rnacentral:lncRNA from 1 species